UGAGGAAUAUUGGUCAAUGGGCGCAAGCCUGAACCAGCCAUCCCGCGUGCAGGAUGACGGCCCUACGGGUUGUAAACUGCUUUUAUACAGGAAGAAAAAAUUCCCGAUGUAUCGGGACUUGCCGGUACUGUGUGAAUAAGCAUCGGCUAACUCCGUGCCAGCAGCCGCGGUAAUACGGAGGAUGCAAGCGUUAUCCGGAUUCAUUGGGUUUAAAGGGUGCGUAGGCGGCUUUUUAAGUCAGUGGUGAAAUCCUGCCGCUUAACGGUAGAAUUGCCAUUGAUACUGAGGAGCUUGAGUUCAGUUGAGGUAAGCGGAAUGUGUAGUGUAGCGGUGAAAUGCUUAGAUAUUACACGAACACCUGAUUGCGAAUGGCAGCUUACUAAACUGACACUGAC
rnacentral:rRNA from 1 species